rnacentral:sRNA from 1 species
UCACUAGUUCAGUGUCCGUAUCUUGCGC